ensembl:lncRNA
CAGCACAUCUCUGGAUCUUUGCAAAAACGCUCCCAGAGAAUCACCGCUGUCCUCCUGGCUCCCCUGGGAGCCAAAGCACAGGGAAGUCAGUCUGGUCAAGGUCACACGUCAGGGGACCUUGGGAAGCGGCAGAGCUAGCAUUCCAGCAGGGCCAGCUUUCUGAAGAAGAGAGCCAGCUUCAGGCUCUGCCUCCUGAGAUCCUCGCCCAGGGGCAGGGAAAGCAUCAGGCUUCCGGGAACAACUCUGCUUACACACCUUCCAGGGCUCCCCAGUGCCCUCCAGAUAAAGACCUAAUUCAAGGCUGUCACAGCCCUGUGAUGUGGCCUCUGCCCACUCCCAGAGCCCACCUCCCGCCACGGCCCUGGAUUUCUGAGUCCCAGCCAGGCAACGCUGGCCUGCUCUCAGGACCCCUUGAGAGCCCAGCACAGCCGGUCUUGUCACCUCCUGUCCCCUGAAGUCACAUCUGCCUGCAGCCGGGCCUCAGCUCAAAUGCUACCUCCUCUCGGCCUCCCCCACGGUCAGAUCCUCCUGUGCUCUCCCUGCGCGGCCCAAAGCUCACUUGUGAUCAGGAGGAGGAGAAGGAAAGAAAACGAAGGAAGAAGAAAGACAAAAGGGACUCCUGGGGCCUUCAGGAGGAGAAGAGCUGAGAAGCACUGGAGAUAAGUUGGCUCCGGCUCUUGGACCUUCGUCGUGUCUUGGAUCAGCUUUCCAUGUGGCGUUGGAGCCUGUCUGCACCUCUGGCUGGUGUCAGCGUAAAGGCUGAAAGUAAACAGCAUUAAGGGCUUCCCAGGUGGCUCAGUGGUAAAGAAUCUGCCUCCCAAUGCAGGAAAUGCUGGUUCAAUCCUUGAAUCGGGAAGAUCCCCCAGAGGAGGAAAUGGCAACCUACUCCAGUAUUCUUGCCUGGGAAAUUCCAUGGGCAGAGGAGGCUGGUGGGCAACGGUUCAUGGGGUCACCAAGAAUCCAACACGACUGAGCAUGCACAUACCACCAAGGCAUGUACAAACAGCACUAACAGCAGCAGCAGAUCUGGGGCCUAAUGGGAACUGUCUCCAACCUUACUGAACUACUGGGAAGGAGUCACUGUCUUCAGGGGUCUCUAUAUAGCCUGGAGUUUUCUGGGGCCAUCUUGUCUACCUCUUGAGAAACCCUACCUAACGAGGAGGGCCAAGACUGAGAAAGAGACUACUUCUCAGUGAUGUCAUUUGAGGUUCUAAAUUCUGCCAUACCUAGAUUCAUCCCUUGAGUUUUCCAAUGUUGUGUGCCCAGAGAUCUCCCUUUUCUUGUUUAAGCUAAUUUGAUACAAAAUUGAAUCAAUACAAGAGUGAAUGAAUCUUGACUAGUGAAGAAUUUCAACUAAAAAUGGGGUGUAUAAUAAAACAAGGAGGAAUGUCAUGGAAUCCACUGCAGAAAGCACAGCCAGAAACCAUAGGAAUGAAAAGGCUGCCUCUGACUCCACAUCUCUCGCUCCUGACCUCUCUCCCUGAAGCCACACAAUUUCCCAUUCCUGCUUUUUCUCUGCAUAUCUCCUUUUUUUCCCCCUCUGCAGAUAAGUGUUUCUGCUGACUCAUUAGCUCAUCUAGAAAAGGUCCCAGGACUGAUUAGUAUUGGCCCAGAUUUGGUCACAUGACCCUAAACCAUUAUUGUGAUUGGCCAAACAGGGGCCAUUACCUCUGGCUGGGUCCAGGCCCACCUAAACCAAAUAGACUAAGAGAGGGUGAAGAGUGGACUUAAAAAAAAAAAAAUCUAAGUACUGUUUUCAGAAUAAUGGAGACUGAAUGCCAAAUACUGCUCCGCCCCCUGACAAGUCUCUGUAUGGAGUUAAGUGAGUUUCUGUUUUACAAAUCAAUGGAGCCCUGAGUAAGCUCAGGGCCCGCCCCUUGUCCUAGAGGAACAGUUCUAAUGGAAGCUUUCACCUGUGACAGCAGCUUCUGGAGGGCUGGUUUCCCUUGGGCUUUCACUAAUCUCCAUUCAAAUCACACAUGAGCCAGAGGGGACUAGUUCUGACUCUAGCCCCAGCAGGAGGCCUUCCCUUGGCAUCACUGGAGUUUUAUAAAUGUCCCGUUACAUGGAAUCAUAAGGAGGCAGGGAGUCCAAGGAGAGAAGUCAGGGAGAGAGGAGGGGAUCAUAGAAGAGCUGGCCUCUGAGCAAGUCCUUCAAGGAUGGGCAGUAAGAACUUCUCAAUCCUGCAGUCGAGAAGACAAGUAGUUGCAAGUCUUGGCGAGGAUGUGGGGAACUUGGAGCCCUCACACACCGCUGAUGGAAAAGCAAAAUAGUGCACUCGCUUUGGAAAACAGCCUGGCAGGUCGUCAAAAAGUUGAACAUAGAGCUACUGUAUGACCCAGUCAUUCUACUCCUAGCUGUAUACCCAGGAGAAAUGAAAAUGUGUUCAUGUAGAAAUUUUACAUGAAUUUUCACAGCAGCAUUGUUCAUAAUGGCCCAAAAGAAGAAACAACCCAACUGUCUGCCAGCUGAUGAAUGGAUAAAUAAAAAUGUGGCUUGUCCGUACAGUGGGAUAUUAUUCCAUCAUAAGAGGAAAUAAAGUACUGAUAUCUGCUACAAUGUGAUUGAACCUUGAAAAUCUUAAGUGAAAGAAGCCAAGGGACUUCCCUGGUGGUCCCAACACAGGGGACCUGGGUUCUACUCCUGGUCAGGGGACUAUAUCCCACAGGCUGCAACCAAGAGUUCACAUGCUGCAAUGAAGAUCGAAAAUCUUGCAUGGGACAACUAAAAAACAGUCAAAUAAAUAAAUAAAAAUAAAAAAUAUGAAAAGAAG